rnacentral:rRNA from 1 species
UACAGAGGUCCCAAGCGUUGUUCGGAUUCACUGGGCGUAAAGGGUGCGUAGGCGGGCAGGUAAGUCAGUGGUGAAAUCUCCGAGCUUAACUCGGAACUGCCGUUGAUACUAUUUGUCUUGAAUAUUGUGGAGGUAAGCGGAAUAUGUCAUGUAGCGGUGAAAUGCUUAGAUAUGACAUAGAACACCAAUUGCGAAGGCAGCUUACUACACAACGAUUGACGCUGAGGCACGAAAGCGUGGGGAUCAAACAGG